AAUGUUAAGUGUCCAAAUUGUGACGUAAAUUUAUGCUUUGUGCGUCAGAAAAACUGCUUCCGGGACUAUCACACAUAGACACAUAUGGACAGAUGGGACAGUGAAUGAUCAAUUUACACUAAAAGAGAACUUACUGUAAAGUGUUACUGUUGUAGAAUUUGAACUAUCAUGUACCAAAACUGUGUGCAUGUGCAUGAAACAAAAUACUGUUAAUUCAGUUGAAAAUAUCAAGUUCUGAAAUAAAAUACGUGUAGAUUUUGAAAGUACAUCAGUACGUAUGUACAUAAAUAGGU
rnacentral:lncRNA from 1 species